GCCCGGGUGGUGAAACUGGUAUACACUAGGGACUUAAAAUCCCUCGGCAGCAAUGCCAUGCGAGUUCGAGUCUCGCCUCGGGCACCA
rnacentral:tRNA from 1 species